rnacentral:rRNA from 1 species
UACGUAGGGGGCAAGCGUUGUCCGGAAUUAUUGGGCGUAAAGAGCGCGUAGGCGGCCAGAUAAGUCCGCUGUGAAAUCUCGAGGCUCAACUUCGAGCUGUCGGUGGAAACUAUCUGGCUAGAGUCCGGAAGAGGAGAAUGGAAUUCCUGGUGUAGCGGUGAAAUGCGCAGAUAUCAGGAAGAACACCCGUGGCGAAGGCGGUUCUCUGGGACGGUACUGACGCUGAGACGCGAAAGCGUGGGGAGCGAACAGG